GAUGAACGCUGGCGGCGUGCCUAAUACAUGCAAGUCGAGCGAACAGAUGAGAAGCUUGCUUCUCUGAUGUUAGCGGCGGACGGGUGAGUAACACGUGGGUAACCUACCUAUAAGACUGGGAUAACUCCGGGAAACCGGGGCUAAUACCGGAUAAUAUUUUGAACCGCAUGGUUCAAUAGUGAAAGACGGUUUCGGCUGUCACUUAUAGAUGGACCCGCGCCGUAUUAGCUAGUUGGUAAGGUAAUGGCUUACCAAGGCGACGAUACGUAGCCGACCUGGGAGGGUGAUCGGCCACACUGGAACUGAGACACGGUCCAGACUCCUACGGGAGGCAGCAGUAGGGAAUCUUCCGGAAUGGGCGAAAGCCUGACGGAGCAACGUCGCGUGAGUGAUGAAGGUCUUCGGAUCGUAAAACUCUGUUGUUAGGGAAGAACAAAUUUGUUAGUAACUGAACAAGUCUUGACGGUACCUAACCAGAAAGCCACGGCUAACUACGUGCCAGCAGCCGCCGUAA
rnacentral:rRNA from 1 species